CAGCAGCCACGGGAAUACGAAGGGGGCUAGCGUUGUUCGGAAUUACUGGGCGUAAAGGGCGCGUAGGCGGCCAUUCAUGUUAGAUGUGAAAGCCCUGGGCUCAACCUAGGAAUUGCAUUUGAUACUGUUUGGCUUGAGUCCGGGAGAGGUGAGUGGAAUUCCCAGUGUAGAGGUGAAAUUCGUGGAUAUUGGGAAGAACACCAGUGGCGAAGGCGGCUCACUGGACCGACACUGACGCUGAGGCGCGAAAGCGUGGGGAGCAAACAGGAUUAGAUACCCCGGUAGUCCCUGUCUCUUAUAC
rnacentral:rRNA from 1 species